AUGCAGAUUGCUGGACUCAACACCCUCGGCAUCUCAAUCGCACGCAUCGACUAUGCUCCCUUAGGCCAGAACCCUCCACACACGCACCCCCGUGCCACUGAGAUCCUCACGGUGCUCGAGGGAACAUUGUACGUUGGCUUUGUCACAUCCAACCUGCCCGCCCCAGCCAGAAACAAGUUCUUCUCAAAGGUGCUCAACAAAGGUGAUGUGUUUGUCUUCCCCGUGGGGCUCAUCCACUUCCAAUUCAACCCUAACCCCCACCAGUCCGCCGUUGCAAUUGCCGCGCUCAGCAGCCAGAACCCAGGGGCUAUCACAAUUGCCAAUGCGGUGUUUGGGUCAGACCCACCAAUAUCAGAUGAUGUUCUUGCCAAGGCGUUUCAGGUGGAAAAGAAUACGAUAGACUGGCUCCAGGCUCAGUUCUGGGAGAACAACCACAACUAA
rnacentral:rRNA from 1 species